GACGAACGCGGCGGCGUGCUUAACACAUGCAAGUCGAACGGAGCGAAUGAAAGCUUGCUUUUAUAAGCUUAGUGGCAAACGGGUGAGUAACACGUAGGCAACCUGCCGACAGGAUGGGGACAACAUUCCGAAAGGAAUGCUAAUACCGAAUGAAGCGCAGGAGAGGCAUCUCUCCUGCGUGAAAGAUGGCCUCUAUAUAUAAGCUAUCACCUGUCGAUGGGCCUGCGUCUGAUUAGCUGGUAGGUGAGGUAACGGCUCACCUAGGCGACGAUCAGUAGCCGGUCUGAGAGGAUGAACGGCCACAUUGGGACUGAGACACGGCCCAGACUCCUACGGGAGGCAGCAGUGGGGAAUCUUCCGCAAUGGGCGCAAGCCUGACGGAGCAACGCCGCGUGAGUGAAGAAGGUCUUCGGAUCGUAAAGCUCUGUUGAUGGGGACGAACGUGCCUAAUGCGAAUAGUAUUAGGUAAUGACGGACCCAUCGAAGAGCC
rnacentral:rRNA from 1 species